CACCGCCCGUCACACCAUGGGAGUUGGUUCUACCUGAAGGCGGUGCGCCAACCUGCAAAGGGGGCAGCCGACCACGGUGAGCUUCAUGACUGGGGUG
rnacentral:rRNA from 1 species